GUAUUCUGACUGUGCAAAGGUAGCAUAAUAGAUUGUCUUUUAAUUGGAGGCUUGAAUGAACGGUUGGACAAAGUAUCCUCUGUUUCUUAAACAAAAAUUGAAUUUUACUUUUAAGUGAAAAGGCUUAAAUAUUUCAAAAAGACGAUAAGACCCUAUAAAUCUUUACAAAACUUUUACUUUAAAUUUCUAAUUAUACGUAGAUGAAAUAUAAAGUAAGAUUUUGUUGCGCUGGGGCGGCGUAGAUAUAUAAACAAACUGUUUGUGAUAUUUAAACAAUAAUUAUUGAUUUUAUUAAUUGAUCCUUUAAUAGAUUAAAAGAUUAAGAUACUUUAGGGAUAACAGCGUUAUUUUCUCUGAGAGUUCUUAUCGAAGAGAAAGUUUGCGACCUCGAUGUUGAAUUAAAGUUUCUUUAUGGUGUAGCAGCUAUAAAAGAAAGUCUGUUCGACUUUUAAUACUUUACAUGAUUU
rnacentral:rRNA from 1 species